rnacentral:rRNA from 1 species
GACGAACGCUGGCGGCGUGCUUAACACAUGCAAGUCGAACGGAAAGGCCCUGCUUUUGUGGGGUGCUCGAGUGGCGAACGGGUGAGUAACACGUGAGUAACCUGCACUUGUCUGUGGGAUAACUUCAGGAAACUGGGGCUAAUACCGGGUAGGAGCUCCUGCUGCGUGGGGGGGGUUGGAAAGUUCCGGCGGUUGGGGAUGGACUCGCGGCUUAUCAGCUGCUUGGUGGGGUAGUGGCUUACCAAGGGUGUGACGGGUAGCCGGCCUGGGAGGGUGACCGGGGACAUGGGGCCUGAGAGACGCACCAGACGGCUACGGGAGGCAACAGUGGGGAACAUUGCGCAACGGGGGGGCGCGUGAUGCAGCAACGCCGCGUGCGGGAUGCCGGCCUUCUGGUUGUAAACCGCUUUCGCCUGUGACGAAGCGUGAGUGACGGUAAUGGGUAAAGAAGCACCGGCUAACUACGUG